rnacentral:rRNA from 1 species
AUGCWAGUCGAACGCUUUGUCUUUAAYUGAUMUGAMGAGCUUGCUCUGAWKUGAUUUUAUCUGACAAAGAGUGGCGAACGGGUGAGUAACACGUGGGUAACCUACCUCUUAGCAGGGGAUAACAUUUGGAAACAAGUGCUAAUACCGUAUAAUACCAACAACCGCAUGGUUGUUGGUUGAAAGAUGGUUCUGCUAUCACUAAGAGAUGGACCCGCGGUGCAUUAGCUAGUUGGUAAGGUAACGGCUUACCAAGGCRAUGAUGCAUAGCCGAGUUGAGAGACUGAUCGGCCACAAUGGGACUGAGACACGGCCCAUACUCCUACGGGAGGCAGCAGUAGGGAAUCUUCCACAAUGGGCGCAAGCCUGAUGGAGCAACGCCGCGUGUGUGAUGAAGGGUUUCGGCUCGUAAAACACUGUUAUAAGAGAAGAACGGCACUGAGAGUAACUGUUCAGUGUGUGACGGUAUCUUACCAGAAAGGAACGGCUAAAUACGUGCCAGCMGCCGCGGUAAUWCGGUCAUAG